CUAAAAACCUAGCCCAACAAACAUGAAUUUUACCAAAUUAACUAAACCCCUCUUAACAAACCAUUUUAAUAUUCUAGUAAAGGAGAUUGAAAAACUUAUUUGGAGCUAUAAAAACAGUACCGCAAGGGAACGGUGAAAUAUUAUGAAAAACUUCAAGCAGCAAAAAGUAAAGAUUACCUCUUGUACCUUUCGCAUCAUGGUUUAACUAGUCUAACCAAGCAAAACGUAUUUAAGUUUGACUUCCCGAAACUAAGUGAGCUACUUCAGGGCAGCUAGAAGAGCAAACCCGUCUCUGUAGCAAAAGAGUGGGACGACCCUCAAGUAGUGGUGACAGACCUAACGAACUUAGUGAUAGCUGGUUGCUCAAGAAACGGAUUUAAGUCCAACCUGAAAGUUUUAUAACCUAAGUUCAUCAAAACAAUCACCUAGCUUUCAGCGUAAUUCAAAUAAGGUACAGCCUAUUUGAAACAGGAUACAACCUAGCCUAGUGGAUAAGAUCAGCCUAACAUACAAUCAAGUGGGCCUAAAAGCAGCCACCUUUAAUACAGCGUCAAAGCUAAAUUGUAACUGAGCCCAAUUACUUAACCCAUAUCUUAAUCCCCUGCCAAUACUGAGUAAUUCUAUAAUAUUAUAGAAAUUUUUAUGUUAAAACUAGUAACAAGAAGAAGAUUCUUCUCUUAAAUGUACAUAUAAAUCAGAAAAGACAAGCUACUGAUGCUUAACACCUCUGAGCAUAAAGUAGUAACUAACCAAGAAAACUCUACUUUUACUGGUGUUAAUCUAACACAAGAACAU
rnacentral:rRNA from 1 species